rnacentral:sRNA from 1 species
GGUUUAUUCGUUUUGUGUGGUGUUAAAAUGCAAAGAAAAGAGUGUGUAAACAAAAGAAAAAGAUUAAAACCCAACACUUAUUAUCUACACAAUUCUAACUGUUAUUGUGGAAGGCAGAAAUCUAAAACAUCUAAAUGCUUGCAACAGACUUUAUAAUUACUGUGCCAAACAAAUGCUCUUUUUGCAUAGAACUCAAAGUUUAUAGAAAUGAUCAACACUCAAAAUCAAGUAAUGGCUAG